GGGGUUGUACCACUCAGUGGUAGAGUGCUUGCCUAGCAUGUGUGAAGAACUGGGUUCAAUUCUCAGCACCCCA
rnacentral:tRNA from 1 species